rnacentral:rRNA from 1 species
UACGGAGGGUGCAAGCGUUAAUCGGAAUUACUGGGCGUAAAGCGCACGUAGGUGGUUUGCUAAGUCAGUUGUGAAAUCCCCGGGCUCAACCUGGGCACUGCAAUUGAAACUGGCAAGCUAGAGUAGGGUAGAGGGGUGUGGAAUUCCAGGUGUAGCGGUGAAAUGCGUAGAUAUCUGGAGGAACAUCAGUGGCGAAGGCGACACCCUGGACUCAUACUGACACUGAGGUGCGAAAGCGUGGGGAGCAAACAGG